rnacentral:lncRNA from 1 species
GUUGUAAUGUUUACCAUCAACUCUUCAUCUCUCUAUCUAAAGUGUCCCCGAAUGGAGAACUACAGAACAACAAGCCGUUUUCUCUUAUUUUACAUUGCACUUGAUAUAUUGUUAUCUCAUCAAACAGAUUUGAAAAGCUUACAAUGAUUAUUAAGCAAGAUAAGUCGCUCGUGAAUAUCUUCAAAUAAUUAUUAAAAGUGCCUACGAGUCAAACUUACAAUUUUAGAACUGGUCUGAUUCUUUGCUUCUUUCCUGACCGGGACUUGAACAUGUAUUUUACACUUUAUACAUUUUACAUAUAUUCUAUGAUUCUAUGGGCUGUCUUUCUGUCAAUAAAAUUCUAAAUUGUCCAAAUUUGUUUGAAGUUUAUGCGAAUUAUUACUAUG